rnacentral:rRNA from 1 species
UACGUGGUGGCAAGCGUUGUCCGGAUUUACCGGGCGUAAAGGGCGUGCAGGCGGUUUGUUAAGUGCAGAGUGAAAGCUCCCGGCUCAACUGGGAGAGGUCUUUGCAUACUGGCAAACUUGAGGGAGGCAGAGGAAAGUGGAAUUCCCGGUGUAGUGGUGAUAUGCGUAGAUAUCGGGAGGAACACCUGUGGCGAAGGCGGCUUUCUGGGCCUUACCUGACGCUGAGACGCGAAAGCGUGGGGAGCGAACAGG